GUUUGCAACCAUACUGCUCUCAAUAUACCUGAUCUCCUCUCAUCUCAGAAGCUAAGCAGGGUCAGGCCUGGUUAGUUCUUGCAUGGGUGACCCAGAGGUUACUAUAUAGUGUCCCAGCU
rnacentral:rRNA from 1 species